GACGAACCGUGCGAACGUUGUUCGGAAUCACUGGGCUUAAAGGGCGCGUAGGCGGGCCUUCAAGUCCGGGGUGAAAUCCUCCCGCCUAACGGGAGAAGAGCCUCGGAUACUGAAGGCCUCGAGGAGGGUAGGGGCAAGCGGAACUAUGGGUGGAGCGGUGAAAUGCAUUGAUAUCCAUAGGAACUCCGGUGGCGAAGGCGGCUUGCUGGACCCUUUCUGACGCUGAGGCGCGAAAGCCAGGGGAGCAAACGGG
rnacentral:misc_RNA from 1 species